AUAUUUUUUUUAUCAAAAAAAGGUUUAUGUAUGUAUAAAAUAUAAAUAUAUAUAUAAAAAAAUGUAAUAUACAUGUUUUAAACCUAUAUAUAAAAUGUUUUUUUUUUAUCGUUAUAUAUAUAUAUAUAUACCUCUUUUAUCCCGCUCAGAAAUAAAAUCACCCGCAGGCCACCUGUAGGGGAACCCUGGAGACAACACGAUAACAUCUCUGUUCACUCAGAGCUACAUCAUCUCUAAAGAGAGGUGACUGCCUGUAGGGGAACCCUGGAGACAACACUAUAACAUCUCUGUUCACUCAGAGCUACAUCAUCUCUAAAGAGAGGUGGCUGCCUGUAGGGGAACCCUGGAGACAACACUAUAACAUCUCUGUUCACUCAGAGCUACAUCAUCUCUAAAGAGAGGUGGCUGCCUGUAGGGGAACCCUGGAGACAACACUAUAACAUCUCUGUUCACUCAGAGCUACAUCAUCUCUAAAGGGAGGUGGCUGCCUGUAGGGGAACCCUGGAGACAACACUAUAACAUCUCUGUUCACUCAGAGCUACAUCAUCUCUAAAGAGAGGUGGCUGCCUGUAGGGGAACCCUGGAGACAACACUAUAACAUCUCUGUUCACUCAGAGCUACAUCAUCUCUAAAGAGAGGUGGCUGCCUGUAGGGGAACCCUGGAGACAACACUAUAACAUCUCUGUUCACUCAGAGCUACAUCAUCUCUAAAGAGAGGUGGCUGCCUGUAGGGGAACCCUGGAGACAACACUAUAACAUCUCUGUUCACUCAGAGCUACAUCAUCUCUAAAGAGAGGUGGCUGCCUGUAGGGGAACCCUGGAGACAACACUAUAACAUCUCUGUUCACUCAGAGCUACAUCAUCUCUAAAGAGAGGUGGCUGCCUGUAGGGGAACCCUGGAGACAACACUAUAACAUCUCUGUUCACUCAGAGCUACAUCAUCUCUAAAGAGAGGUGGCUGCCUGUAGGGGAACCCUGGAGACAACACUAUAACAUCUCUGUUCACUCAGAGCUACAUCAUCUCUAAAGAGAGGUGGCUGCCUGUAGGGGAACCCUGGAGACAACACUAUAACAUCUCUGUUCACUCAGAGCUACAUCAUCUCUAAAGAGAGGUGGCUGCCUGUAGGGGAACCCUGGAGACAACACUAUAACAUCUCUGUUCACUCAGAGCUACAUCAUCUCUAAAGAGAGGUGGCUGCCUGUAGGGGAACCCUGGAGACAACACUAUAACAUCUCUGUUCUCUCAGAGCUACAUCAUCUCUAAAGAGAGGUGGCUGCCUGUAGGGGAACCCUGGAGACAACACUAUAACAUCUCUGUUCACUCAGAGCUACAUCAUCUCUAAAGAGAGGUGGCUGCCUGUAGGGGAACCCUGGAGACAACACUAUAACAUCUCUGUUCACUCAGAGCUACAUCAUCUCUAAAGAGAGGUGGCCACCUGUAGGGGAACCCUGGAGACAACACUAUAACAUCUCUGUUCUCUCAGAGCUACAUCAUCUCUAAAGGGAGGUGGCUGCCUGUAGGGGAACCCUGGAGACAACACUAUAACAUCUCUGUUCGCUCAGAGCUACAUCAUCUCUAAAGAGAGGUGACUGCCUGUAGGGGAACCCUGGAGACAACACUAUAACAUCUCCACUGUAUUUCAGCCCUGCCACAAAAGGACCAACUGACAUCAUACAU